AUGAAGAGGAAGCAGAUGAGGAACAAGAGCAACUCAAGAGGACCCACUGACGAUGUCUUGCCCAGGGGACCUCCAAAACCUGAUGCCAGUUCAAACUCUCAGCCUGUGCUGACCCAGCCAGGAUCAGCCUCAGUAGCACCAGGGGGGACAGUGAAAAUAACCUGUGCUUCAAGCACUGACAUCAGCAUCAGCAGCAAAAAUGUAUACUGGUACCAGCAGAAACCUGGGACUUCUCCACGGUACCUCUUAUGGUAUUAUUCAGAUUCCAGCAAGCACCAAGGCUCCGGGGUCCCCGCUCGUUUCUCUGGAUCCAAAGACAACUCCAGAAACACCGCCUAUUUGAGCAUCGCAGAAGCCCUGGCAGAAGAUGAGGCUGAUUAUUACUGUGCUCUCUCGCAUAGCAAUAUGUGUCACAGUGAUGCAGUCUGA